UUAUGAUCAUAUCACAUUGCAACACUAGUUCACGUACGACCACCGAAGGUAAACAACGUCGAGCCUGGUGAGUACCUAGAUGGGUGACAGCUUGGGAAUAUCAGAUGUUGUAAG